rnacentral:lncRNA from 1 species
CAGGAACAUGUGUGAUGGUGGUAGUCAUCCUUGUGGAUUGUCCUCUUGUUCUUCAAAGAUCAUUAAACACAAUUACAGGAAAAGAGAUCUUUGUUUCUGAGCAAAACUCGGCUUUUAUGUUUACAUGAGUUCAAGGGGAGAAGUUCAUCAAAGAGAAAUCCACAGAGAUUAAGAACAUAGUGACUGCAGUAUUUGCAAGAAGUUGCUGAGCAAAAAUUGUUGGAAGAGGACACAAGUGGAAAGCAUCGCAUACUUCUGCUGAAUUUUAUUCCUCCUUGAGUACCUAUUCUGGCUGCUGAUGGAGACAAGAUACUGAAUUAUGAACUUUCAGCCUGCCUUGGUAACAGAUGCUCAUUGUGACGUGAACGUAAUUUCAGUACCUGCAUAGGAGAAAUGACGACCGGAGCCACCCGAGCUUAAAGUUAUGCCUACCACCUGCCAUGCUGUCAUUGGACAUCACUGGGACAAGCCUGACUCCAUCUUUCCU